GUUGAAAUGCUUCUUGUUUGACAGAAAUAAAUCGGUGUGCUCCUUGGGCCACCAAGGUUCUAGCUGCCUCAAUCUUUAAUUGUUUCUCAAAAUAUUGCACUACAAAAGCAUAUCAUUUGUUUCAUCUUUCAUUUCAAUGUUAUUAUGGCACUGUAAAACCACAUGCAUAGAUUUAUUCAUGUUUUUUUCCCAUAUUAUUUCCUGAACAUUUUUCUCAGCCACACAAGAGGGUACUUGGCUGAACUUGUCCUUCUGGACUGAUAUCCAUGAAUGGUUAAAAUGAGCGUGGUGCAGGGUGUUUAAAACACUUCCUUCAGAAGAGAAAUCACUAUCAUCACAACCACAUUAACCUUUGCUUCAGUGGGGAGAUACAACUGAUGUUGUCAAUCAGCUUCAUUCCAGAUCCAACUCAACCUCAACCUGCAGCACAUUGGGAGCCAAAGUUGAAAUAUCUUAAAACAUCACAAUGUCUUACGAAAGAAUUCUGUCCAUUGAAAAUUUGAGCGAUGUCCCAAACCCAUGGAAGGGAUUAACUAUGAACCGCUGUAUAGUGGUGGCACUGGUGGUACUGCUGGUGAGCUCAGGGGUCAAUGAGCUGCAUGAGGCUAUAGACUCUUUUGUUGAGGAGACAGGGUCUUUUAUUGGAAGUCUGCAAGAUGGAUUAAUAACUCAGCUCCAGAUUUCCCCAUGGGACAGCUUUAUGGGUUGGUGGGGAGCUGAAGAAGUUGGAGUGAUAAGAAGACGUAAAAAGCCUAUGAGCAGCAAAGUAGUCCUGAAGCCCAAAAUUAAAGAAUGAUCUAGAUACAAUGUUUAUUGAACAAAUGAAGGAUCAAAAAAGCAGCUGGUUUCUAAAUGAAAGGACACUAUAAAGUCAGCAAUAUAAUUCAAUUUCAAGAGUUGAAGAAGACACAGAAUGUAAAACCUCACCUUUUUUUUGAGUCAUAAACAUAUUUUUGUUCAGAUUACUUCUUUGAUUGAGAAAAUGAAGGAUUUGCAACUUCUGUUGAAGACAAAGACCUAUUUUGAUCUACAAUUCAGUUGUCAUAUUUUUAUCAUGCAGAAUACUGUGCAGCGUGCCUCUACUACAAAUAAUUCAUUGUCUGAGUACAUAGCUUAAAGCAACCUAAUUGAAUAAACAUCUGCUACUAUGA